rnacentral:rRNA from 1 species
UGGGGAAUUUUGGACAAUGGGGGAAACCCUGAUCCAGCCAUCCCGCGUGUGCGAUGAAGGCCUUCGGGUUGUAAAGCACUUUUGGCAGGAAAGAAACGUCGCGGGUUAAUACCCCGCGAAACUGACGGUACCUGCAGAAUAAGCACCGGCUAACUACGUGCCAGCAGCCGCGGUAAUACGUAGGGUGCAAGCGUUAAUCGGAAUUACUGGGCGUAAAGCGUGCGCAGGCGGUUCGGAAAGAAAGAUGUGAAAUCCCAGAGCUUAACUUUGGAACUGCAUUUUUAACUACCGGGCUAGAGUGUGUCAGAGGGAGGUGGAAUUCCGCGUGUAGCAGUGAAAUGCGUAGAUAUGCGGAGGAACACCGAUGGCGAAGGCAGCCUCCUGGGAUAACACUGACGCUCAUGCACGAAAGCGUGGGGAGCAAACAGGAUUAGAUACCCUGGUAGUCCACGCCCUAAACGAUGUCAACUAGCUGUUGGGGCCUUCGGGCCUUGGUAGCGCAGCUAACGCGUGAAGUUGACCGCCUGGGGAGUACGGUCGCAAG